rnacentral:rRNA from 1 species
UACGGGGGGAGCAAGCGUUGUUCGGAUUUACUGGGCGUAAAGGGCGCGUAGGCGGCCUGCUAAGUCGGACGUGAAAUCCCUCGGCUCAACCGGGGAACUGCGUCCGAUACUGGUGGGCUCGAAUCCGGGAGAGGGAUGUGGAAUUCCAGGUGUAGCGGUGAAAUGCGUAGAUAUCUGGAGGAACACCGGUGGCGAAGGCGGCAUCCUGGACCGGUAUUGACGCUGAUGCGCGAAAGCCAGGGAGAGCAAAGCGGG